AGUUCAGACUACCGCUCAGAACAGUCACGCGGGUCAUGGUGUUGGGAUUUGCGAGGGAGGGAAGACCUGUUGUCUCUUAACCCAUUUUCUAACUCAAAAACAUUAAAAGAUACCACUUGUCUUCAUUUAUUUUAUUUGGAUUUUAAACGCUCCUUUCCUUUCUUCAUAAAUCGUAAUAAAAAAAGGGAGGAAAUAAUGCAAAGAGAGUUAUACGAGACCCAGAAAAGAAGUAAAGUGCAAUAAAAAGACAAGGCGCAUCACGCAUGGAAUCUGGUUUUUUCUCCUAUUUUGUGCCAGUUAUUAAGCAAUUGAAGUACUAUAUGUAUGAAAUUUUUCCGUUUCGUGUUUCGCUUGACAAAGAUUUGCUAUAAUAAAUAUUAAUGUGAAGGAUGCGCCUUAGGUGACUAAGAGCAUUGUCCUAAUAAACACUCUGCAGAAGCUUGGAGUUAGAGAUUAUUCAUUGAUCGAAGCCCUAGGUGGCUUUCUUUCGACUGUAAGAGACGCGCUCUGAAUCUGGGAAUUUCCAAUGGCGUUUUGGUGGCCAUUGCUCGUUUUAGCAUUCGCUUACGGUCUCUGUAGGUUCCUUCUCAUGCUAAUUCCUCCCAAGGUUCCUUCCAUCGACGUUGACACUUCCGACGUGUUGGACGAUGGAAACCAAGCGCAGGAGAACAGCUUCAUUUAUGUGCCUCCGAGAGGAACAUCACAACAAUCGAGCAGCAGGAUAGUUCAGUGCUAUGAGCCUGCAACUAUGAAAUAUUUAGGAUAUGUUCCAGCAUUGACACAUGAUGAGGUCAAGGAUCGAGUGGCAAAAGUAAGGAAGGCACAAAAAAUGUGGGCAAAGUCCAGCUUCAAGCAAAGACGCUUGUUUUUACGUAUACUUUUAAAGUAUAUAAUUAAACAUCAAGCGCUUGUAUGCGAAAUAUCUUCACGUGAUACUGGAAAGACAGUGGUAGAUGCCUCUUUAGGAGAAAUAAUGACAACAUGCGAAAAGAUCAAUUGGCUACUAUCAGAGGGCGAGCAGUGGUUAAAGCCUGAAUACCGGUCUUCUGGAAGAUCAAUGCUUCAUAAGAGAGCCAGAGUAGAAUUUCACCCCCUUGGUGUUAUUGGAGCCAUUGUUUCAUGGAAUUAUCCUUUCCACAAUAUUUUUAAUCCUAUGUUGGCAGCAGUUUUUUCUGGAAAUGGUAUUGUGAUUAAGAUAUCAGAACAUGCAAGUUGGUCUGGAUGCUUUUACUUCCGGAUCAUCCAAUCAGCGCUUUCUGCCAUAGGAGCUCCAGAGGACCUUGUUGAAGUGAUAACAGGGUUUGCUGAAACGGGAGAAGCAUUGGUAUCUUCUGUUGAUAAAGUCAUAUUCGUUGGAUCUCCAGGUGUCGGUAAGAUGAUAAUGAAAAAUGCUGCUGACACACUUAUACCAGUGACACUAGAGCUUGGUGGAAAAGAUGUAUUUAUUGUUUGUGAAGACGUAGAUCUGGACCAUGUUGCUCAAGUUGCUGUCAGGGCUGUUCUUCAGUCAAGUGGACAGAACUGUGCUGGAGCGGAACGAUUUUAUGUCCACAGGGAAAUUUAUUCUGCUUUUGUCAGUAAAGUUACCAAAAUAAUAAAGUCUGUAACAGCUGGCCCACCGCUUGUUGGAAAGUAUGAUAUGGGAGCUCUAUGCAUGCAUGAGCAUUCUGAAAAGCUUGAAGGCCUUGUAAAUGAUGCCUUAGAAAAAGGAGCUGAAAUUGUUGCACGAGGGAGUUUUGGACAUAUAGGUGAAGAUGCAGUUGAUCAGUAUUUCCCCCCUACUGUGAUUGUGAAUGUGAAUCACUCAAUGAGAUUGAUGCAAGAAGAGACAUUUGGACCAAUCAUGCCAAUAAUGAAAUUCAGCUCUGAUGAGGAAGUUGUCAGGCUUGCAAAUGACUCAAAAUAUGGGCUCGGCUGUGCUGUUUUCUCAGGCAGUCAGAGCCGUGCCAGAGAGAUAGCUUCACAGAUACAUACUGGGGUAGCUGCAGUUAAUGAUUUUGCAGCAACGUACAUGUGUCAGUUUGCUACAACUAGAAAUCUUCAAGAUGUAAUUUACCAGAGGCCUGAAAUUGAAGUGGGUUUAAUCUACGGUUUUCCACUGAAGUAAUGAUGCGUUGUGAUUUCGCAGUCCCUGCCAUUUGGUGGUGUGAAACAUAGUGGAUUUGGACGAUUUGGCGGUGCAGAAGGAUUGCGAGCUUGCUGUCUAGUUAAAGCAGUUGUUGAAGAUCGAUGGUGGCCAUUUCUGAAAACCAAGAUACCUAAGCCUAUUCAGUAUCCUGUUGCAGAGAAUGGAUUUGAGUUUCAGGAGUCACUUGUUGAAGGGCUUUAUGGUCUCAGCAUAUGGGACCGUUUGCGAGCAUUAGUAAACGUUUUAAAAAUGCUUACUGAACAGAACCCUGCCGGCAGCAGCAACAAGCGAAAAAACGAGUAAUUUUCAUCUCAGGUAACAUGCUAAACGCUUAAUAAUAUUGUCAUAAUCAAACCCUGCUGCUAGCAGCUGUAAGAAUUGACUAAUUGUCAAGUCAGGACAAGCUAGAUGGUGUCGAGUUCAAAUUAUGGGGGAUUUCGGUUGUCCUAUUUAUCUCGAACUGUAAUUUUUGGAGUUGUGCCAUUUUUUUUCGAGCUUAUUAGUUGUCGCCGCUGGUCAUUUGUGAAAUUUUAUGAUCCUUAUGUGACGUUUAAUCAAAUUAGGAUGAAAAAGGUUCUGUGAUCCCAUGCUAGAUGGUUACGUGAUUGUCAUUCGAAUUCUCACAGUUCAUUGUCUUGGGAAAAAAAAUAGGAAAAGAUCAUUUAAUGC